rnacentral:pre_miRNA from 1 species
CUUUGUAUUCUUCCACAGCUUUCUUGAACUGCAUCAAAAUUAAGAGUUAAAUUGCAUGCAUGUAAUUAAUGGCACUUUGUGUUCUACUCAUUGUUUUGCGGUUCAAUAAAGCUGUGGGAAGAUACAGAUA